rnacentral:rRNA from 1 species
AGAGUUUGAUCAUGGCUCAGGAUGAACGCUGGCGGUAUGCUUAACACAUGCAAGUCGAACGAAUCCCUUCGGGGAUUAGUGGCGGACGGGUGAGUAACGCGUGAGAAUCUGCCUUCUGGUCGGGGACAACCACGGGAAACGGUGGCUAAUACCGGAUGUGCCCUGCGGGGUGAAAGGUUAACUGCCUGAAGAUGAGCUCGCGUCUGAUUAGCUAGUUGGUGUGGUAAGAGCGCACCAAGGCGACGAUCAGUAGCUGGUCUGAGAGGACGAUCAGCCACACUGGGACUGAGACACGGCCCAGACACCUACGGGUGGCAGCAGCAAGGAAUCUUCGGCAAUGGGCGCAAGCCUGACCGAGCAACGCCGCGUGCAGGACGACGGCCUUCGGGUUGUAAACUGCUUUGGGGAGGGAUGAUACGGACAGUACCUCCAGAACAAGCCCCGGCUAACUCUGUGCCAGCAGCCGCGGUAAUACGGAGGGUGCAAGCGUUAUCCGGAUUCACUGGGUUUAAAGGGUGCGUAGGCGGGCAAGUAAGUCAGUGGUGAAAUCCUGGAGCUUAACUCCAGAACUGCCGUUGAUACUAUUUGUCUUGAAUACUGGGGAGGUGAGCGGAAUAUGUCAUGUAGCGGUGAAAUGCUUAGAUAUGACAUAGAACACCGAUUGCGAAGGCAGCUCACUACACAGUCAUUGACGCUGAGGCACGAAAGCGUGGGGAUCAAACAGGAUUAGAUACCCCCGUAGUCC